GCAAGUCGAGGGGUAAGGCUCUUUCGGGAGUACACGACCGGCGCACGGGUGAGUAACGCGUAUGCAACCUACCUUUUACUGGGGGAUAGGCCAGGGAAACUUGGAUUAAUACCCCAUAAUACUUUGAUGCGGCAUCGCAUUGAUUUUAAAACUCCGGUGGUAAAAGAUGGGCAUGCGUGACAUUAGUUUGUUGGUGAGGUAACGGCUCACCAAGACUACGAUGUCUACGGGGUCUUAAAGGAUGGUC
rnacentral:rRNA from 1 species